UUGCAUGUUGUUUUUCAUCUUGUAACUUUACAGUAAGUAACACAUCUAAAAUUUUCCUGAUGGAAGUCUUUUACAUAUGGAAGCGUUUCACCUGCACAUAAGGAUGAGUUGGUUUUCAUUCUUUUCCAGCUUCAAUUUUCUGUUGCUGUGCUGACGUGAACAUUCUUAUAUGCUCAGGUAGACUCUUGAGAUGUAAGCUACUGUGCAGACAUAGUUAAUACUUUGUUCUCAUAAUUGUUAAACUAUGUGGUAUGUUUUGAACAUUUUGCUUUCCUUGGUAUAUGGUCUUUGAUUCCUUUGCAUCAAUUAAUCUGAAAUAAAUACACUUCCCAGCUUUAAUAAGAACAGCUCCAAAGAAUCUAAUGAAGCCAAAAUAUUUUUGCUAAAUUCUUAUCUCAAGUAAACAAUAUUGAUAAUAAGGGCACUCAACAUUAUAUUAGUCUGAAACCAACUUUCUUUGAAGAUUACCUUUUGUGGAUCCCUUUAUUAAGAGUAUCUCAUUAUAUGUGCAUAUCAACAUUGAAUCCAGUUUUGUCAUGAGCAGAUGAGUAACUGAUAUAUCUCUAAGUGAAUGACUUGCUUGAAAUUGUACUUCUUCGAAAUGAAGUAUUAAUUAUUUAGAUAUAUAAUUGUCUCCCUUGAUUUUAAUCUCUUCCAAAUCUAUCUUGGAUCAUUCUCUAAUCUAUAAUUCCCAUAAAGGACAUGGAAUAAAUAUUAUUCUACUUUUUAUAUCCAAAAUUCCUAAGUCCUUAGAGUCUAAUAGUAUUAAAACUUUUCGGGAAUAGCUCCUGCCCAGUAAGCUGAGUAUUGUGACAGCGUUACUGGCCUUGCGAUUGUCCAAUUCCUCUCAUACUAAUUAGACCUAGUUUUUGUAUAUUGGGGGCUAUAAAGUAUGUGGUAGUAACAUAUUAAUAAGAAAUAUUUUAAAAUAUUUUCUUAAUGAAACCAUUUGAUGGAUUGAAUUAAUAUAUCCCUUCAAAAUAUACAUGUUGAAAUCUUAAGCAUUCAUUGUAAUUUUGUUAAGGUACUAGAUUUGUGGAUGGUAAUCAGGCAAUGAGUGUUGAGACCUCACAAAUGCAACUAAUAAAGUGAUAAAUGAUGCUUGUUUGCCUUUGUCUUUCUAUGAGAGAACACAAAACAGACAUCAUCUAUAAGAGAGUAAGUAGGCUUCGCAUGACACUACAUACAAGUAUCUCCAUUUUUGUAACUUCCAAGCCUAUAAAUUUUAAGAAUGUAGAAUUUAAAUAUCUAUUUCUUAUAAACCACUAAUCAUUUCUAGUUUAUAAAGUAGUUCAAACAGUAUAAGGAAAAAAUGGUAUCUAAUUGGAGUGCCAUUGUAAAAAAAUCCCCCAAACCUAGCAGUAGUUCAGAACUGGGUGAACUUUCUGAAACGGGAAAAAAUUUCAAAAUAUGCUGUAAGAAAAAAUUGCAUUUCUGUGAAUACAACAUUAGAGGAGAUUCUGGUGGGAGUCAAAGACAAUAAAAGGGUAGUAGUGAGAAAUUCAGCUGUCUCAGAGUAUACAUGUAUCUUCCGGAUCAGUAUAGAAGAGAAAUGUGGCCAAAACUAGCUUUUCUGAUGAAAACCUAGACAGAGAUGGAGAACAUGUUAUUGAACAGUGGGGGAACGGCCAUAGUAUCUACAUAAGAACUUUGGGAAAGAUUCACAUAGCCUUGUGUUAUGAAAAAAGCAGAACAUGUAAAAGAUGAACAGCUAUAUAGGCAAAGAAGUUACCUAGAAAAAAAGAUUAAAGGUAUUGUUUGAUUGUUCUUAAAAGUUUGCUCAUAAACAUGUGAAAACAAGACUAAAGAUGGAUUUGUUUUUAAUCAAAGAAAGCAGUAUAACAUUUGAAAAUAUCUUAGAUUACCAAUGUUCAUGGAAAUGGAAAAAAAAAGAUCAGGCUUCAAAAUAAAUGAGGGUGUGGCUAAGUAAUGAAAAUGUAUAGAGGAACCGUCCAUGUUCUUAACCGCUGUGAUGUCUGGAAAGAAAAGCUUCAAAUCACUAUGACUCUGUCUGGAGUGAGCAAGGCUUCUUCUAAGAAUUUAACAGGUGAUUCUGUCUUUUGUUUCUUCCAUUUUCUGCUGGUUGGCCAAUAUCCUGGGCUUGAGGUUGUGUCCCUCCAUAUUGCAUACCACUGUCAACUUCAUCCAGCGCUUACUGCACUGUCACCCAUAAGGAUACUUGUCAAUAGUUUGAAUAUUCAGAGGGACAUAGUCUAAAAUCCCCUAACUGCAUCUUCAAAAUCCAUAUAAAACUGCAUGCUCAUG
rnacentral:lncRNA from 1 species